rnacentral:lncRNA from 1 species
CAAAAAAAAAAAAAAUUACGUAUAAGUUGCUUUAUUGUCUACAUGGACUAGACUCCAUUUUCGUAAAGCAUAUGCAUAAAAAUAACAAUGCAGAAAGGAUCGGAUUGACAUCAUUUACAUGUGGUUACUUGCUGAUUGAUUUCCUUGAAUGCUUCUUUGUAGAAUUUUCUUUUUCCAGUUCAUGUUUAAUUAGUUGGUUUUCUAUUUCUUAUUAAACGGGUAAAAUUGGAAUUACAUCAUUCAUUUUCAGGAACAAAUUUUGCAAUACAAACACAUUUCAAUUAUUCUCAGUUUCUUUUUUAAUAAAAUUCCCAGGAACAAAACUAUUUAACCAAACACUUUUUUCAUAUUUUCCUAGGAAUAAAAAUCACACCUUUAUAUUCCAGAAAAAGAUAAUUCCUGGGAAUAAAUUGUGUAUCCAUGAAACAAACGCACCCUAAUGUGUGGUUAGAGAAAACAGAUUAUGUUGUCAUCAUAAAAUUCAAUAUGUCAUUGAUUAAAAUUUACUUUGAUGCUAUUAAAAGCAAUUACAUAUCCUUGAUAAAUAACAAUGAAUACUCGUUUUGCCCUCUAAAUAACAAAAAAAAAAGUAGUCAAUACUUUCAAUAGCAAUUAAUCCAAAAAAAAAAAAAAAUCUUGUGGAAGAUAGAUGCAUCAUCUCUAUUUAGCUCCAAAGUUAUCUACAACAAUAACCAAAGGUUUUUGCACCAUAUAAAUCUAAAUUCAAUAAUUCAAAUUGACAAUUGAGCUUAGAAUAUAGACAAAUUCAUACCUGAUAAGAUAAUUUCUACAACCAAUACCCUUUGUGCAACCAAUACCUUCUUUGUGCAACCAAUACCCUUUUAUUUGAUUGUCAGAUAGCUUCUCGAGAUGAUCCUUGACCAUUACUCAAUCCUUUAUAUUAAGGAGCUUUGAUAACACCCCGACAAUAUUUUCUAAGAAAAUGAAAGAGAAAAACAUGAUCUCAAUGUGAAAAUGAGAGAAAUGAACACCGUAUUUAUAGAUCAACCUCACGCUACAAGAAAUG